rnacentral:rRNA from 1 species
UGGGCAAUCUUCCCUGCACUCUGGGACAAGCCCUGGAAACGGGGUCUAAUACCGGAUAUGACUACCGAUCGCAUGGUUGGUGGUGGAAAGCUCCGGCGGUGCAGGAUGAGCCCGCGGCCUAUCAGCUUGUUGGUGGGGUGAUGGCCUACCAAGGCGACGACGGGUAGCCGGCCUGAGAGGGCGACCGGCCACACUGGGACUGAGACACGGCCCAGACUCCUACGGGAGGCAGCAGUGGGGAAUAUUGCACAAUGGGCGAAAGCCUGAUGCAGCGACGCCGCGUGAGGGAUGACGGCCUUCGGGUUGUAAACCUCUUUCAGCAGGGAAGAAGCGAGAGUGACGGUACCUGCAGAAGAAGCGCCGGCUAACUACGUGCCAGCAGCCGCGGUAAUACGUAGGGCGCGAGCGUUGUCCGGAAUUAUUGGGCGUAAAGAGCUCGUAGGCGGCUUGUCACGUCGGAUGUGAAAGCCCGGGGCUUAACCCCGGGUCUGCAUUCGAUACGGGCAGGCUAGAGUUCGGUAGGGGAGAUCGGAAUUCCUGGUGUAGCGGUGAAAUGCGCAGAUAUCAGGAGGAACACCGGUGGCGAAGGCGGAUCUCUGGGCCGAUACUGACGCUGAGGAGCGAAAGCGUGGGGAGCGAAACAGGAUUAGAUACCCUGGUAGUCCACGCCGUAAACGUUGGGAACUAGGUGUGGGCGACAUUCCACGUCGUCCGUGCCGCAGCUAACGCAUUAAGUUCCCCGCCUGGGGAGUACGGCCGCAAGGCUAAAACUCAAAGGAAUUGACGGGGGCCCGCACAAGCGGCGGAGCAUGUGGCUUAAUUCGACGCAACGCGAAGAACCUUACCAAGGCUUGACAUACACCGGAAACGGCCAGAGAUGGUCGCCCCCUUGUGGUCGGUGUACAGGUGGUGCAUGGCUGUCGUCAGCUUGUGUCGUGAGAUGUUGGGUUAAGUCCCGCAACGAGCGCAACCCUUGUUUUGUGUUGCCAGCAUGCCUUUCGGGGUGAUGGGGACUCACAGGAGACUGCCGGGGUCAACUCGGAGGAAGGUGGGGACGACGUCAAGUCAUCAUGCCCCUUAUGUUUUGGGCUGCACACGUGCUACAAUGGCCGGUACAAUGAGCUGCGAUACCGUGAGGUGGAGCGAAUCUCAAAAAGCCGGUCUCAGUUCGGAUUGGGGUCUGCAACUCGACCCCAUGAAGUCGGAGUCGCUAGUAAUCGCAGAUCAGCAUUGCUGCGGUGAAUACGUUCCCGGGCCUUGUACACACCGCCCGUCACGUCAC